GGAAAGAAACUAACAAGGAUUCCCCUAGUAACUGCGAGUGAAGCGGGAAAAGCUCAAAUUUAAAAUCUGGUAGUUUCACUGCCCGAGUUGUAAACUAGAGAAGCGUUAUCCGCGCUGGACCGUGUAUAAGUCUCCUGGAAUGGAGCGUCAUAGAGGGUGAGAAUCCCGUCUUUGACACGGACUACCAGGGCUUUGUGAUGCGCUCUCAAAGAGUCGAGUUGUUUGGGAAUGCAGCUCUAAAUGGGUGGUAAAUUCCAUCUAAAGCUAAAUAUUGGCGAGAGACCGAUAGCGAACAAGUACCGUGAGGGAAAGAUGAAAAGAACUUUGGAAAGAGAGUUAAACAGUACGUGAAAUUGUUGAAAGGGAAACGCUUGAAGUCAGUCGCGUCGGCUAGGAAUCAGCCUUGCUUUUGCUUGGUGUACUUUCUAGUCGACGGGUCAGCAUCAGUUUUGAUCGGUGGAAAAAGGCCAGCGGAAUGUGGCACCUUCGGGUGUGUUAUAGCUGCUGGUUGUAUACAUCGGUUGGGACUGAGGAACUAGCACUCUGUGUUUUAGAUGCUGGCAUAAUGGCUUUAAUCGACCCGUCUUGAAACACGGACCAAGGAGUCUAACAUGCCUGCGAGUGUUUGGGUGGAAAACCCGAGCGCGUAAUGAAAGUGAAAGUUGAGAUCCCUGUCGUGGGGAGCAUCGACGCCCGGACCAGACCUUUUGUGACGGAUCCGCGGUAGAGCAUGUAUGUUGGGACCCGAAAGAUGGUGAACUAUGCCUGAAUAGGGUGAAGCCAGAGGAAACUCUGGUGGAGGCUCGUAGCGAUUCUGACGUGCAAAUCGAUCGUCAAAUUUGGGUAUAGGGGCGAAAG
rnacentral:rRNA from 1 species